rnacentral:tRNA from 1 species
AUUUACAUAAUAUAUAAAUAUAGUAUAUUUAACUUCCAAUUAAAAAGAUUAAAACUUAAUGUAAAUA